rnacentral:rRNA from 1 species
GACGAACGCUGGCGGCGUGCCUAAUACAUGCAAGUAGAACGCACAGUUUAUACCGUAGCUUGCUACACCAUAAACUGUGAGUUGCGAACGGGUGAGUAACGCGUAGGUAACCUGCCUGGUAGCGGGGGAUAACUAUUGGAAACGAUAGCUAAUACCGCAUAAUAUUAAUUAUUGCAUGAUAAUUGAUUGAAAGAUGCAAUUGCACCACUACCAGAUGGACCUGCGUUGUAUUAGCUAGUAGGUGAGGUAACGGCUCACCUAGGCGACGAUACAUAGCCGACCUGAGAGGGUGAUCGGCCACACUGGGACUGAGACACGGCCCAGACUCCUACGGGAGGCAGCAGUAGGGAAUCUUCGGCAAUGGACGAAAGUCUGACCGAGCAACGCCGCGUGAGUGAAGAAGGUUUUCGGAUCGUAAAGCUCUGUUGUAAGAGAAGAACGGGUGUGAGAGUGGAAAGUUCACACUGUGACG